rnacentral:rRNA from 1 species
CUAAUACAUGCAAGUCGAGCGGACCGACGGGAGCUUGCUCCCUUAGGUCAGCGGCGGACGGGUGAGUAACACGUGGGUAACCUGCCUGUAAGACUGGGAUAACUCCGGGAAACCGGGGCUAAUACCGGAUGCUUGAUUGAACCGCAUGGUUCAAUCAUGAAAGGCGGCUUCGGCUGCCGUUUACAGAUGGACCCGCGGCGCAUUAGCUAGUUGGUGAGGUAACGGCUCACCAAGGCGACGAUGCGUAGCCGACCUGAGAGGGUGAUCGGCCACACUGGGACUGAGACACGGCCCAGACUCCUACGGGAGGCAGCAGUAGGGAAUCUUCCGCAAUGGACGAAAGUCUGACGGAGCAACGCCGCGUGAGUGAUGAAGGUUUUCGGAUCGUAAAGCUCUGUUGUUAGGGAAGAACAAGUACCGUUCGAAUAGGGCGGUACCUUGACGGUACCUAACCAGAAAGCCACGGCUAACUACGUGCGAGCAGCCGCGGUAAUACGUAGGUGGCAAGCGUUGUCCGGAAUUAUUGGGCGUAAAGCGCGCGCAGGCGGUUUCUUAAGUCUGAUGUGAAAGCCCCGCGGCUCAACCGGGGAGGGUCAUUGGAAACUGGGGAACUUGAGUGCAGAAGAGGAGAGU